CGGGACGGGUGAGUAAUGUCGGGGAAACUGCCCGAUGGAGGGGGGUAACUACUGGAAACGGUAGCUAAUACCGCAUAACGUCGCAAGACCAAAGAGGGGGACCUUCGGGCCUCUUGCCAUCGGAUGUGCCCAGAUGGGAUUAGCUAGUAGGUGGGGUAACGGCUCACCUAGGCGACGAUCCCUAGCUGGUCUGAGAGGAUGACCAGCCACACUGGAACUGAGACACGGUCCAG
rnacentral:rRNA from 1 species